rnacentral:rRNA from 1 species
UACAGAGGUCUCGAGCGUUAGGCAGAAUCACUGGGCUUAAAGCGUGUGUAGGCGGAUCGGUAAGUACCUUGUGAAAUCCCACAGCUUAACUGUGGAACUGCUUGGUAUACUGCCAGUCUUGAGCCAGCUAGGGGCUACCGGAACAAAUGGUGGAGCGGUGAAAUGCGUAGAUAUCAUUUGGAACGCCAAUGGUGAAAACAGGUAGCUGGGGCUGUGCUGACGCUGAGACACGAAAGCCAGGGGAGCGAACGGG